GUACUCACAGGGGUAACAGAUGUACUAAAAUUGGAAUGAUACAGAGAUGAUUAGCAUGGCUCCUGUGGAAAGAUGAUACAAAACUUUCGCAAAUGUCUUGUAUUUGG
rnacentral:snRNA from 1 species